rnacentral:rRNA from 1 species
UACGGGGGGGGCAAGCGUUGUUCGGAAUUACUGGGCGUAAAGGGUUCGUAGGUGGCUUGUUAAGUCAGACGUGAAAUCCCUCGGCUCAACCGGGGAACUGCGUCCGAGACUGAAAGGCUUGAAUCCGGGAGAGGGAUGUGGAAUUCCAGGUGUAGCGGUGAAAUGCGUAGAUAUCUGGAGGAACAUCGGUGGCGAAGGCGGCAUCCUGGACCGGUAUUGACGCUGAGGCGCGAAAGCCAGGGGAGCAAACGGG